rnacentral:tRNA from 1 species
UCCCUGGUGGUCCAGUGUCCAAAACUCUGCAUUUCCAAUGCAGGAGUGAGAUGGGGCCCAGGUUUGAUCCCUGGUCAGGGAA